CAUCAGAUAACGUCUUUUCGUUGUAUUGUAUUCCUUUGUUUUCCUCCAAAAGUGCACGUAAAAUGCAGGCUAGUACUCGGGCUAAUCUUUUCAAAAGCACUUGCCUGUAAUCACGUCUCAUUGCGCAUGUCACACGCUGCGCAUGGUGUCUCCAUCGAAAGUGUGGAGGCAUGUUUCCGAAGAAAUAUGUUUCAGUAAAUAUAAUGGACAGUAUUUUUUUUUUUAAUCAGAUAACGUGUUCAUUUUACUAUAUCAGGCUAUUUUAACCAACGUUAAUAGAAUACAUAUGCUGGCUGCAGCUGCAGAGCCCGUUGCUGCCUCUGCUUUUUGUGAAGUGUUCCUUUCAGACACAAGUUGUGCACCAGAGGGACAGCUGUGCAGCACAUCAGCCUGAGUCUGUGUCACUCCACAGAAGUGAACUGAUGAAUGACUGGAGGGAGUCUGCUGGGAGCGAGCACUACCAGCACAGAACAGCCCUAGCUCUGAGCCUGCAGGGCAGCCCAGAUCUAAUAACAAAGCUGCAUACUUCGGUAGAAUAACCCUGGCAACCACAGCAGCACUACUGGCAACCAGUAUGGUUAGUGGGGACUUUAAACAAUCAGAGUUCUUGCGUACACAAUCUUUUGAAAAUGAAUUCAGUCUGACAAAGACGGUUGGAUGAGAGAUUCAAAGGGAACAUUUCGUGCAUGAUGAUAUGAUAGGGGGAUUUACUGUACCCACUAGCCUUUUCAUCAAGCAGCAAUCAACAAUUUAUUGGUGGCAGUCAGUCAAUAAAGGCGUUCCCUGGAAGUGCCAGUGAAAUCAAUAUUCCCCUGUGACACAGCACACAGGCCGCAGUGAGGGAUGGAUGGGAGGGGCAAAACUGAGCUGGAAUGAGUUGCCACAUUUGCACUGUAUGCAAAUACAAUUGAUUAGCUGUGCUGGCAGCAGAACAUUAAAAAUGACCUAAAACUAAAUGAAUUUGUCCUUCACUUUAUGCAUAGUGCUAAUCCUAGCUGACAGAUAGGCCUGUCACCAUAAAUACUAUAUUGACUUAUUGUUCAAUAAAUGAUGAUAUAUUUUUA